ACGAUGAAGCCCUUCGGGGUGGAUUAGUGGCGAACGGGUGAGUAACACGUGGGCAAUCUGCCCUUCACUCUGGGACAAGCCCUGGAAACGGGGUCUAAUACCGGAUACAACCACUGACCGCAUGGUCGGGUGGUGGAAAGCUCCGGCGGUGAAGGAUGAGCCCGCGGCCUAUCAGCUUGUUGGUGAGGUAAUGGCUCACCAAGGCGACGACGGGUAGCCGGCCUGAGAGGGCGACCGGCCACACUGGGACUGAGACACGGCCCAGACUCCUACGGGAGGCAGCAGUGGGGAAUAUUGCACAAUGGGCGAAAGCCUGAUGCAGCGACGCCGCGUGAGGGAUGACGGCCUUCGGGUUGUAAACCUCUUUCAGCAGGGAAGAAGCGAAAGUGACGGUACCUGCAGAAGAAGCGCCGGCUAACUACGUGCCAGCAGCCGCGGUAAUACGUAGGGCGCAAGCGUUGUCCGGAAUUAUUGGGCGUAAAGAGCUCGUAGGCGGCUUGUCACGUCGAUUGUGAAAGCCCGAGGCUUAACCUCGGGUCUGCAGUCGAUACGGGCUAGCUAGAGUGUGGUAGGGGAGAUCGGAAUUCCUGGUGUAGCGGUGAAAUGCGCAGAUAUCAGGAGGAACACCGGUGGCGAAGGCGGAUCUCUGGGCCAUUACUGACGCUGAGGAGCGAAAGCGUGGGGAGCGAACAACGAUUAGAUACCCUGGUAGUCCACGCCGUAAACGGUGGGAAC
rnacentral:rRNA from 1 species